rnacentral:rRNA from 1 species
GACCAAGAAGUCUAACAUGUGUGCGAGUCAUUGGGUAUAUUAUUGAAACCUAAGGGCGUAAUUAAAAUAACUAUGUUAUGGGAUUACAAGUGAAUUAAUUUUCAUUUCUCCAUCCCGGGGCGUUCUAUACGAACAUGGUUUGAGCAAUUGAAUCCUCUGUUCAAGAGCGUACCUUGAGCAUACAUGCUGUGACCCGAAAGAUGGUGAACUAUACCUGAUCAGAUCGAAGCCAGGAGAAAUUCUGGUGGAGGAUCGAAACAGUUCUGACGUGCAAAUCGAUUGUCAGAAUUGGGUAUAGGGGCGAAAGACCAAUCGAACCAUCUAGUAGCUGGUUCCCUCCGAAGUUUCCCUCAGGAUAGCUGGCGCAAAGAAUUAUAUUAUAUAUAAUCUUAUCUGGUAAAGCGAAUGAUUAGAGGCCUUGGGGCCGAAACGACCUCAACCUAUUCUCAAACUUUAAAUGGGUAAGAACCUCAUCUUUCUUGAUCUGAAGAUAUUGGGGUUUAGAUAUAUUGUGCCCAGUGGGCCACUUUUGGUAAGCAGAACUGGCGCUGUGGGAUGAACCAAACAUGAUGUUACGGCGCCUAAAUUAAUGACUCAUAUUGAUACCAUGAAAGGCGUUGGUUGCUUAAAACAGCAGGACGGUGGACAUGGAAGUCGUAAUCCGCUAAGGAGUGUGUAACAACUCACCUGCCGAAGCAACUAGCCCUUAAAAUGGAUGGCGCUCAAGUCAUAUGCCUAUACAUCAUCGCUAAAAUAAAAAUUGUUGGCUUUAUGGUCAUCAUUAUGAAAUUUUAGCGAGUAGGAGGGUACAAUGGUGUGCGCAGAAGUGUUUGGCGUGAGCCUGCAUGAAGCCGCCAUUGGCACAGAUCUUGGUGGUAGUAGCAAAUAAUCGAAUGAGAUCUUGGAGGACUGAAGUGGAGAAGGGUUUCGUGUGAACAGUGGUUGAUCACGAGUUAGUCGGUCCUAAGCUUUAUGCGAAAGCUGUUUAAUUUAUGUUACAUACAAAACAUUGUUGUACAUAAUUCAAUAAAAGCGAAAGGGAAUACGGUUCCAAUUCCGUAACCUGUUGAGUAUACGUUUGUUUAUUAAAAAUGGGUCUUUAUACACUCAUCCUGGCAACAGGAACGACCAUAGAGAAGCCUUCGAGAGAUACUGGAAGAGUUUUCUUUUCUGCUAAACAAACGUAUCACCAUGGAAGUCUUUUAUAGAGAGAUAUGGUGAAUGGCUUGGAAGAGCAUGACAUUUACUGUUGUGUCAGUAUUUUCUCCUUGGACCUUGAAAAUCUAUGGUGGGGCCACGCAAACUUCUCAACAGACCGUACCGAUAUCCGCAGCCGGUCUCCAAGG